rnacentral:rRNA from 1 species
GGGCCCGCACAAGCGGUGGAGCAUGUGGUUUAAUUCGAUGAUACGCGAGGAACCUUACCUAGGCUUAAAUGUUAUAUGAUCGCUUGUGAAAGCAAGUUUCCCUUGUGGCAUAUAAUAAGGUGCUGCAUGGUUGUCGUCAGCUCGUGCUGUGAGGUGUCGGGUUAAGUCCCAUAACGAGCGCAACCCCUAUCAUUAGUUACCAGCGAGUUAAGUCGGGGACUUUAAUGAAACUGCCCGUGUAAACGGUGAGGAAGGUGGGGAUGACGUCAAAUCAUCACGGCCCUUACGUCUAGGGCUACACACGUGCUACAAUGGUAAGUACAGAGCGUUGCUGCUUGGUGACAAGUUGGCUAAUCGCUAAAGCCUAUCGUAGUCCAGAUUGGAGUCUGCAACUCGACUCCAUGAAGUAGGAAUCGCUAGUAAUCG